rnacentral:rRNA from 1 species
UAGCGGCGGACGGGUGAGUAACACGUGGGUAACCUACCUAUAAGACUGGAAUAACUCCGGGAAACCGGGGCUAAUGCCGGAUAACAUGUUGAACCGCAUGGUUCUACAGUGAAAGACGGUCUUGCUGUCACUUAUAGAUGGACCCGCGCCGUAUUAGCUAGUUGGUGGGGUAACGGCUUACCAAGGCGACGAUACGUAGCCGACCUGAGAGGGUGAUCGGCCACACUGGAACUGAGACACGGUCCAGACUCCUACGGGAGGCAGCAGUAGGGAAUCUUCCGCAAUGGGCGAAAGCCUGACGGAGCAACGCCGCGUGAGUGAUGAAGGUCUUCGGAUCGUAAAGCUCUGUUGUUAGGGAAGAACAAAUGUGUAAGUAACUGUGCACAUCUGA